UCUGAUGCAGCGACGCCGCGUGAAGGAUGAAGUAUUUCGGUAUGUAAACUUCUAUCAGCAGGGAAGAAAAUGACGGUACCUGACUAAGAAGCCCCGGCUAACUACGUGCCAGCAGCCGCGGUAAUACGUAGGGGGCAAGCGUUAUCCGGAUUUACUGGGUGUAAAGGGAGCGUAGACGGCACGGCAAGCCAGAUGUGAAAGCCUGGGGCUCAACCCCGGGACUGCAUUUGGAACUGCUGAGCUAGAGUGUCGGAGAGGCAAGUGGAAUUUCUAGUGUAGCGGUGAAUUGUGUAGAUUUCAGGAGUGUAAACAGAGGC
rnacentral:rRNA from 1 species